AGAACUGUGUGCGGUGGAUCACUCGGCUCGUGUGUCGAUGAAGAGUGCGGCCAACUGUGUGAAUUAAUGUGAAUCGCAGACUGCUUUGAACAUCGACAUCUUGAACGCAUAUUGCGGCUAUAGGCUUGCCUAUGGCCACGUCUGUCUGAGCGUCGGCUUAUAAACUAUCACUGCGCGUAGUAAGCAGUGGCUUGGGAGAGUGUC
rnacentral:rRNA from 1 species